UGGUGGAGUGAUUUGUCUGGUUAAUUCCGUUAACGAACAAGACCCCUGCCUGCUAAAUAGCUCAGUGAGUGAAUAUUCACUCACUGAUAGCUUCUUAGAGGGACGUGCAUUCUAUUAGAUGCAGGAAGAUAGGGGCAAUAACA
rnacentral:rRNA from 1 species